AAGAUGGCGACCGGCGCACGGGUGAGUAACACGUAUCCAACCUGCCGAUAACUCGGGGAUAGCCUUUCGAAAGAAAGAUUAAUACCCGAUGGCAUAGUUCUUCCGCAUGGUAGAACUUAUUAAAGAAUUUCGGUCAUCGAUGGGGAUGCGUUCCAUUAGGUUGUUGGCGGGGUAACGGCCCACCAAGCCUUCGAUGGAUAGGGGUUCUGAGAGGAAGGUCCCCCACAUUGGAACUGAGACACGGUCCAA
rnacentral:rRNA from 1 species